GAUGAACGCUGGCGGCGUGCCUAAUACAUGCAAGUCGAGCGAACGGACGAGAAGCUUGCUUCUCUGAUGUUAGCGGCGGACGGGUGAGUAACACGUGGAUAACCUACCUAUAAGACUGGGAUAACUUCGGGAAACCGUAGCUAAUACCGGAUAAUAUUUUGAACCGCAUGGUUCAAAAGUGAAAGACGGUCUUGCUGUCACUUAUAGAUGGAUCCGCGCUGCAUUAGCUAGUUAGUAAGGUAACGGCUUACCAAGGCAACGAUGCAUAGCCGACCUGAGAGGGUGAUCGGCCACACUGGAACUGAGACACGGUCCAGACUCCUACGGGAGGCAGCAGUAGGGAAUCUGACGCAAUGGGCGAAAGCCUGACGGAGCAACGCCGCGUGAGUGAUGAAGGUCUUCGGAUCGUAAAACUCUGUUAUUAGGGAAGAACAUAUGUGUAAGUAACUGUGCACAUCGUGACGGUACCUAAUCAGAAAGCCACGGCUAACUACGUG
rnacentral:rRNA from 1 species